rnacentral:rRNA from 1 species
AUGUCCUGUGUAGGGUACUGGAAUUGGGAUUUGUUGGCAGUAAGAGGUGCAGUACACAUAGAAAUUCUGCUCGAAGCUGCAGAUGAAGGGCUCGUUGGGGGCGGCACCAGGGGGGCGGGCGGCUGCGCCCGCGGUUGCCGCGGUAGGCCACCCCCUCUACGUCGGGGGGCACACCGCCGCCGAUGCACAGGUCCUGCGUGCGAGUCCCGAUCGAGGCCGCACUCCUCGGCUCGAGGUCCUCCGGCUGAGGCCGGAUCGAGGCCGUGCUCGUCGAGGUCGGCCACGGGGCGGACGCAUCUGGACACGGACGAGGUGCCGCUGGCUGCUGCCCUUCUCUCUCCCUCUCAUCCUCUCUCCCGACGCCGCCACCACCGCUCACCUCGCCUCUUCGCAGGCCGGCGCUACCACCGUUGCUCUUCUCUUGCCGCCGCCGACGCCGCUCCCACGCCACGAUCCAAACGACCCCGCAUCGAUGCGCCGUCGCUGCCGCUGGUCUCCCCCGCGCCACCUCCUCUUCCUAUUUUCUUCCAGCGGCGGCGCAGUCCCCUCCCCCCCUGUGGCUUCAUGGUGGUGAGGGCUAACGGAUUGGGGAGGAAAAGAUGA